CGAAGGAUAGUUUAAGGUAAGUAAAAAUAUUAAUUUUGGAUAUUAAAGAUAUUCUUUUCUUUCGA